rnacentral:misc_RNA from 1 species
GGCUCCUGUCCACUCUGUUUGACGCCUCCCUGUUGAGACUUCAGAGCCGCCUUUCCAGGCGGCUCUUUUUUGAUUCAUCC